rnacentral:rRNA from 1 species
AAACAAGCUUUUAAGAGCAGAUGGCGGAUGCCUUGCCAAAGAGAGGCGAUGAAGGACGUACUAGACUGCGAUAAGCUAUGCGGAGCUGUCAAGGAGCUUUGAUGCGUAGAUGUCCGAAUGGGGCAACCCAACUAAUAGAGAUAUUAGUUACUCUUUAAAUAGAGAGCGAACCUAGUGAAGUGAAACAUCUCAGUAACUAGAGGAAAAGAAAUCAACGAGAUUCCCUAAGUAGUGGCGAGCGAACGGGGAAAAGGGCAAACCGAGUGCUUGCAUUCGGGGUUGAGGACUGCAACAUCCAAGAGAACGCUUUAGCAGAGUUACCUGGAAAGGUAAGCCAUAGAAAGUGAUAGCCUUGUAUGCGACAAGGCGUUCUUAGGUAGCAGUAUCCAGAGUAGGCCAGGACACGAGAAAUCCAGGUUGAAGCUGGGGAGACCACUCUCCAACCCUAAAUACUACUCUUUGAGCGAUAGCGAACAAGUACCGUGAGGGAAAGGUGAAAAGAACCGCAGUGAGCGGAGUGAAAUAGAACCUGAAACCAUCUGCUUACAAUCAUUCAGAGCCCUAUGAUUUAUCAGGGUGAUGGACUGCCUUUUGCAUAAUGAUCCUGCGAGUUGUGGUAUCUGGCAAGGUUAAGCGAAUGCGAAGCCGUAGCGAAAGCGAGUCUUAAUAGGGCGCUUGAGUCAGAUGCUGCAGACCCGAAGCUAAGUGAUCUAUCCAUGGCCAAGUUGAAACGCGUGUAAUAGCGCGUGGAGGACUGAACUCGUACCCAUUGAAACGGGUUGGGAUGAGCUGUGGAUAGGGGUGAAAGGCCAAACAAACUUAGUGAUAGCUGGUUCUCUUCGAAAUAUAUUUAGGUAUAGCCUCAAGUGAUAAUAAAAGGGGGUAGAGCCCUGAUUGGGCUAGGGCUGCUCGCCGCGGUACCAAACCCUAUCAAACUUCGAAUACCUUUUAUCGUAUCUUGGGAGUCAGGCGGUGGGUGAUAAAAUCAAUCGUCAAAAGGGGAACAACCCAGACUACCAAAUAAGGUCCCUAAGUUCUAUUCUGAGUGGAAAAAGAUGUGUGGCUACUCAAACAACCAGGAGGUUGGCUUAGAAGCAGCCAUCCUUUAAAGAAAGCGUAACAGCUCACUGGUCUAGUGGUCAUGCGCUGAAAAUAUAACGGGGCUAAGAUAGACACCGAAUUUGUAGAUUGUGUUAAACACAGUGGUAGAAGAGCGUUCAUACCAGCGUUGAAGGUAUACCGGUAAGGAGUGCUGGAGCGGUAUGAAGUGAGCAUGCAGGAAUGAGUAACGAUAAGAUAUAUGAGAAUUGUAUCCGCCGUAAAUCUAAGGUUUCCUACGCGAUGGUCGUCAUCGUAGGGUUAGUCGGGUCCUAAGCCGAGUCCGAAAGGGGUAGGUGAUGGCAAAUUGGUUAAUAUUCCAAUACCGACUAUGGAGCGUGAUGGGGGGACGCAUAGGGUUAAGCGAGCUAGCUGAUGGAAGCGCUAGUCUAAGGGCGUAGAUUGGAGGGAAGGCAAAUCCACCUCUGUAUUUGAAACCCAAACAGGCUCUUUGAGUCCUUUUAGGACAAAGGGAGAAUCGCUGAUACCGUCGUGCCAAGAAAAGCCUCUAAGCAUAUCCAUAGUCGUCCGUACCGCAAACCGACACAGGUAGAUGAGAUGAGUAUUCUAAGGCGCGUGAAAGAACUCUGGUUAAGGAACUCUGCAAACUAGCACCGUAAGUUCGCGAUAAGGUGUGCCGCAGCAAUGCGGUCUCAGCAAAGAGUCCCUCCCGACUGUUUACCAAAAACACAGCACUUUGCCAACUCGUAAGAGGAAGUAUAAGGUGUGACGCCUGCCCGGUGCUCGAAGGUUAAGAGGAUGCGUCAGUCGCAAGAUGAAGCGUUGAAUUGAAGCCCGAGUAAACGGCGGCCGUAACUAUAACGGUCCUAAGGUAGCGAAAUUCCUUGUCGGUUAAAUACCGACCUGCAUGAAUGGCGUAACGAGAUGGGAGCUGUCUCAACCAGAGAUUCAGUGAAAUUGUAGUGGAGGUGAAAAUUCCUCCUACCCGCGGCAAGACGGAAAGACCCCGUGGACCUUUACUACAACUUAGCACUGCUAAUGGGAAUAUCAUGCGCAGGAUAGGUGGGAGGCUUUGAAGUAAGGGCUUUGGCUCUUAUGGAGCCAUCCUUGAGAUACCACCCUUGAUGUUUCUGUUAGCUAACUGGCCUGUGUUAUCCACAGGCAGGACAAUGCUUGGUGGGUAGUUUGACUGGGGCGGUCGCCUCCUAAAAAGUAACGGAGGCUUGCAAAGGUUGGCUCAUUGCGGUUGGAAAUCGCAAGUUGAGUGUAAUGGCACAAGCCAGCCUGA